GUGUUCUCUUCAGCACACAUAUACUGAAAUUGGAACAAUAUAGAGAUUAGCAUGGCUCCUGCACAAGGAUGACAUAGAAGUUCGUGAAGCAUUUCAUAUUAUC
ensembl:snRNA U6 U6 spliceosomal RNA